rnacentral:lncRNA from 1 species
AUAAUCCUUACACUGACUUCGUUACAUUAUAUGAUUUUCUCAAAAACUGUUUUCACAUCUCUUUCGGAAUAAUUAUACUUUUUAACCCUUAUUCUUCUUCUAACCUUUAAGUAUAGUCUAAUCUUCAUUUACUAAGAUGAAAAUAAUUAUCAUGCCCUUGCUGCUUGGUGGAGACGAGGUUUUUAAAUAAAACAGCAAGAGCGCGAAAAAAUGUGGUUAGGAAAACUAUACAUUCUUAUUUUUUGUUCAUUAUUUUAUCAAUCCGCUUCGAUGACAAGAUUUCAAUGAUGAAUUUUAAAGUUGAUGAAAGACACAUUGGUAAUUUGCCAACCACGCAUCAUGGUAUCAUUUAAUCUUAAAAGGAGAGCCGCUUUUUAAUUAAUUUUAAUAAGACAAUUUAUUUCAUUACUGUAACUGCUCUUCUCUCAUCCAGAAUGGACUCAGAUUUAAUUCUCAUCAGGCAAGUAAAAACACUCGACAAAAAGAACUCUGAAUAUUCCAUGGCAGCUGGGCUGCUAAUCAAAGAUACCUUUCGAAUGAAGUUGCCCAGAGUUCAACGUCAGUUCCAAAUCCUAAUGCCAAACUCAAACGCAGCUAACAAUGGAAAAGUUCAAAUGUCGGACUCCCUCAAUGAAACAAAAGUCACAACCCAAAGGGUGAACGAGACAACCGGAGAAGCUGCAAAAUUGCUCCCGUCCGUAUCAAAACCCUCAUCCCACCAGGAUCAGAGCGUCACCGAUGCUAAUCCAACCGAUGUCUGCAAGAACGAAAAAGGUGCCUGUAACACUGGAAAGGACUCCAGCAAACAAGAGGCUUGCGACAAAGAGAGGAAGGUAAUAGACCUUGCAGAAAUCGUGGAUGACGACCGCAGAUCGGAAAAAAAGAUGCUGAACCUGAACCUGAAUCUGCAGGACUGUAAGAACAAAAUUCGAGACAAGUGCGAGCUGGCUGGUAAAAGGUGGAGCGAAGCAAGUUUUCCGGGGAAACUAACAGAAGCAAGACUUGAACUGAAAAAGAAAAUGCCUGAUUGGUGGAAGACAGUGACUUGUAAUUUUAAUAGUCUGCAAGAAAACGUCGCGAAAAGAUUGGGGAAAAGAGGCGAUUGAGAGAAAGAGGUAACGUGCAUCUCUAAAACUGAAAAAUGAGAUCCGAUGAAAAGAAAAAGAAAAAAAAAGAGAAUAAAACUGAACACAAAACACAUCCAUGUUGAUCAUAAAACCAGGUGAGAUCAUGCUCCAUGCAUUUCUUUUCCUUUUUUCCAUAAAAAUGAAGUCUAAGCGCAUACAAAUUUCAGAAAAACUUUAUUUGUUUGAAAUGAACUCAAUGGUUAUUUUAUACAAAACUAGGCGAAGUCUUUUAACCCUAUUUCAUGAAGAAAGAUAUUUGUUCUUUGAUAAAAAUGUGUUUUUAAUUAUUGGUAUGGAUGAAUUUUGAAUCACAACGACACUAUUCUCAAAGAAUAUUUGAGUAGGUAUUUCUCCUCGUUUUUGAAGAUAGAAGUGGUGAAAUAAAAGUAUCCCAUGGUUUUCUAUACGUUAAGACGGCAUUAAGUGGUCUUUAACUCCGACUUCAUAACUUUGAGAGCCAGUAUAUCGACGGUGAAACUACCAAACCACGUAUCUCGGUUUGCGACGUCGCAGACUUCCUGUCAUACUUUAUUUUUAAAUGAAAAACUACUUAACGUCCAGUCUUGAAAAUUUCUGUGAUUUUUCCUCUUCGUGCGGAGAAAAUUCUGUGAAAAUUUCAAGGAAUGAUAUUGAUUUGGUCUACUUCAAAAAAAUAAAAUGCGAGCGUAGAUUUUUAAACACCGCAAACGAGAUACGUGGUUUGGUAGUUUCACCGUCGAUAUGCUAUUUAUAUUAAAACUCUUUAAUGAUAACAAAGCUUUAAAAUACCACCUACUCUGAAAUUGUGCACUCAUUUACGAUACGUAAGAAUAUCAUCAGAAAUUCGCCGCUCCUUGCUAAUUAAAACAUCAACCUCUUGCACCGAAAUAUAGUGAUAACUUCUAUUUGAUAUUUUGAUAUUUUCAUGGUUAGAAUGAAUCUUAAAAAAUAUAUUCCGUACAAUAUAUAUGAUGCUGCAUCAAUUAACUCUCUGUAAUUUUCUAAAUGACAGACUACUUUGGUUUUACGCCUGAAUAACAUGCCCUCCAUUUUUUCAUGAAAUUUUAUGAAAUAACCUUUCCUCCUUAGCCAAUCACGUUUAAGAUUAGAAAGUUUACCUCUACUUGGAGUCUUUACAUUCAUUAGCAUUGUAAGUUUUUUAAUCUAAUUGGUGCAGAAAUAUAGACGGAUCAUUAUUUAAACAAGAAUUUAGUCAUUUUGAGCAUCAAAAUGUCGGAUUGCCUUCAAUUUUUACUUAUCGACGGUGUAAGUCGGCAAUCACAUAACUCGGUUUGCGACGUCGUAGACUUCCUGUCAUACGUUAUUUUUUAAUCGGAAAACUACUCAACGGCAAUUCUUUAAAACUUCCGUGCUUUUUCUUCUCUGUGCGAAGAAAAUUCUGCAUAAACUUCAAGAAAUGAUGUCAAUUUGUUCUCUUUUAAAAAAAUAACAUAGAGGCGGAGAUUUUCAGACACCGCAAACGAGUUAUGUGAUUGCCGACUUACACCGUCGUUAUAAUUUUUAUGCAUCGACCAUUCUGAAACUAGAUGCCGCGCAAUGUACAAAAUGCACAAAAUCAAUGAGCUUUCGUCCAAAUAAUGCUACAUUCAUUUAAAACUGUUCGUAACUUUUGAAAAAAAUGCUGUUGCUGCAGUAUGCAUCGACCAUUUUGAAACUAGAUGCUGCGAGAUGUACAAAAUGCAC